AAAGUGGAGCAAUCCAUGAGUACAGUGGCGACCGGGUGAGUAACACGUGAUCAACCUACCCUCGAGUGGGGGAUAACUCCGGGAAACCGGAGCUAAUACCGCAUAACAUCUUCGGUCCAUAUGAACUGAUGAUCAAAGGAGCAAUUCGCUUGAGGAGGGGGUCGCGGCUGAUUAGCUAGUUGGUAGGGUAAUGGCCUACCAAGGCUUAGAUCGGUAUCCGGCCUGAGAGGGCGCACGGACACACUGGAACUGAAACACGGUCCAGACUCCUACGGGAGGCAGCAGUGGGGAAUUUUGCGCAAUGGGGGAAACCCUGACGCAGCAACGCCGCGUGGAGGAUGAAGUCCCUUGGGACGUAAACUCCUUUCGACCGGGAAGAUACUGACGGUACCGGAUGAAGAAGCACCGGCUAACUCUGUGCCAGCAGCCGCGGUAAUACAGAGGGUGCGAGCGUUGUUCGGAAUUAUUGGGCGUAAAGGGCGCGUAGGCGGCGCGGUAAGUCACCUGUGAAAUCUCCUGGCUCAACUGGGAGCUUGCAGGCGAAACUGCCGUGCUGGAGUGUGGGAGAGGUGCGUGGAAUUCCUGGUGUAGCGGUGAAAUGCGUAGAUAUCAGGAGGAACACCUGUGGCGAAAGCGGCGCACUGGACCACAACUGACGCUGAGGCGCGAAAGCUAGGGGAGCAAACAGGAUUAGAUACCCUGGUAGUCCUAGCCCUAAACGAUGGAUGCUUGGUGUGAUCGGUACCCAAUCCGAUCGUGCCGAAGCUAACGCGAUAAGCAUCCCGCCUGGGGAGUACNGUCGCAAGGCUGAAACUC
rnacentral:rRNA from 1 species